AGUGAACGCUGGCGGCGGGCCUAACACAUGCGAGUCGAGCGGCAGCGCGGGGGCAACCCUGGCGGCGAGCGGCGGACGGGUGAGGAAUUCGUCGGAAUCUGCCUUUUUGUUGGGGAUAACGUAGGGAAACUUACGCUAAUACCGCAUACGUCCUACGGGAGAAAGGGGGGGACCGCAAGUCCUCGCGCAGAAAGAUGAGCCGACGACCGAUUAGCUAGUUGGUGGGGUAAAGGCCCACCAAGGCGACGAUCGGUAGCUGGUCUGAGAGGAUGACCAGCCACACUGGGACUGAGACACGGCCCAGACUCCUACGGGAGGCAGCAGUGGGGAAUAUUGGACAAUGGGCGCAAGCCUGAUCGAGCAAUGCCGCGUGUGUGAAGAAGGCCUUCGGGUUGUAAAGCUCUUUUGUCCGGAAAGAACACCCUGGAGCUAAAACCUUCGGGGGAUGACGGUACCGGAAGAAUAAGCACCGGCUAACUACGUG
rnacentral:rRNA from 1 species